UACGGGGGGAGCAAGCGUUGUUCGGAUUUACUGGGCGUAAAGGGCGCGUAGGCGGUCAGCACAAGUCAGUUGUGAAAUCUCCGGGCUUAACUCGGAAAGGUCAACUGAUACUGUGCGACUAGAGUGCAGAAGGGCAACUGGAAUUCUCGGUGUAGCGGUGAAAUGCGUAGAUAUCGAGAGGAACACCUGCGGCGAAGGCGGGUUGCUGGGCUGACACUGACGCUGAUGCGCGAAAGCCAGGGGAGCGAACGGGAUUAGAU
rnacentral:rRNA from 1 species